CACGGCCGAAACGUGUUGUCUUUCUUCUCUUUUCAGCAUGGAAUAAACCUAUUACUUGUCCCUUUUCAGCAAUAGUUGGUUUACAAUAAUGCUGGCCUCUGGUUAAAUCACAGUUCAGGUCACCCUUGAGAAAUGGCAGUGUAGAUUUGGAUUUGCAAUGGAAAAACUAUGAAUGUGAUGAUCAGUGCUGUCCCAGAGAAUAUCAGUGGUAUUUAUUUCUGCAACCCACAUGAGUGCAUUUAAACCCGGAUUUUAUUGAGCAGGUAAAAACAUAAUAGAAGGUUACAAAUUAACUGAAACCGUCUAGCCAGUGUGGAAGUGAGUAGUUAAUUGAUCCAAGAAUCUCACGGCCAUUUCUUGAAAGGAGCCAGGUAUCGGCUUCAACAAAAUGUUGGGUAUCUUACUGUAUGCUCCCACAAGCCUUUGGGUAAAGAAGUGCCACUUGUUCUACAUCUUAGUGCUAAUUCAACACUCCCAGAGCCUUCUUUUGAGGAUUUGCCUCAGUUUGGUGCUGGUAUAAAGCCCACGGUGGCCAAAGGUUGUUUCUGCUUUUUACUGGGAACCCUGGGAGCAGUUGUGAAGAUCUGGUAUCCUUAAACAGUCAAGAGCAGGUGUCAUAACCCAGCUUUUGACUGCAGGUCCACCAUAAUUGCUUUUGUAUAGCGCUUUUCACCCUAGCAAAUGUCCCAAACAUCCCCCAAGCACUUCACAUACAGGAGGGGACCCACUUCGGCCGCCAUUAUCUACCAACAUCCACCCAACAAAGCAGAUCAGGUAGAGGAGGAAAUGUAGGUUGUCCCGAUUGUGCAAGCCUAAUGCAGAAUUCAGCCAGGACACCAAGGUUAACACCUCUGCUCAGGGAAAUAGUGCCAUUGGAUCUUUAACGACCAAGUCGUUAUGACUUCAGUUUAUGGUCUUAUCCAAAGGACAGCACAGUGUCCACCAGCACCAUUGUUAAACAGGUUUUGGAAAUUCUUUCAUCAGAAGUCUCCUGUCCCUGUACAAACCAGUCCCGGCCUCUCGCAGCUUCUGAGGUUUAAAGAGAUCGCAACAGAAGGUUACAAAUCAUGAAUGUGAUGACCAGUGCUGCCCCAGAGACCCAGAUAACUACCAGACAUUGUGAUGUUGCGCUCUGUCCACAUCGCGAGUUUUGCAACAGCGAGGAGCCUGAUCUAAACAGUUGGAGGAUUUGACUCUUCUUGGCUUCCUGCAAGCAAUGGUGUACAAAGGCCAGGACUGUCCCCUGAUGACACACCUUAAACGCAUUUGGUAUAAUUAGAGAAGUUAACCUCACAACUAUCGGCAUCCUCUCACUGCUGACGGGCUGACUGAUAAUUGUAUAAUGUAGCGUGCUGUUCACUAAGUGGAGCCUAGUGCUUUGUGAUCUCUGAAAAGCUCAGUAAUGUGUACACCAACAAUAUGGUGUUAAAAUGUGUGUGUCUGCUUGUAUGGUGUCUUUUGCUGCUAACUUUAGAGCAGAUUUUAGUCUGGAGUAGAAAGUUUAGAGAAUCACCUUGUGGAUUAGCCUGCUUAUUUACAGUUUGUCUAACUGUUGCUUAGGUUAAUUUUUAGUUACUCUGUGGCAUAGCUGUCAUACAGUAGCAAUACAGGAUUGUAAAUCCCAGGUUUCUGUAAAUCAUGUAUCUACAGAUGCUGCUUACUAGCCAUUAUUUACAGAGAGAAAAGAGUUAAAACAUUAUUACAGUAUUUCUGAAUUAGGAUCCUGUAGGCCAUUAAAACAAUUGACUUUUUUCCUCCUAGUCAUCUAUACAUUUUAUUUUUUAAAGACCAGAUAUUAUACUGUCCUGUGGUCCCUUGUGGAUCAGUAAAAUCCACAAAGCAAUACUGUAUAUGAAGCAACCCCCUCCAAGACAUACACUCUCACUUCAACAUUGCUUUGUGUUUCACUCCCACUGGGCAUUAAUCUGUUCACAUGCAGCACCUUCAUUUCAUAUGGCUCAAAAUGCUGUACAGUCGAAUAAAGUGUGAUUAGAAAAUACACCGGUUUUCAGUAUUUUUCAGUAUAUUCUGAAAUGUUACUCAUCUUACAUUGGUGGGGCAAGUGUUCCUAUUCCUGAUUCCCACAAAAAAAAAACCUUUACUAGGACGAUCUCCCUUACAUAACCAGUAGGCAAAAUGAUGGGCUCAUCUGCACAGAUUUCUGAAAUGCAACUAGGAGAGAACAAAUCACCAUUAACUAUUAAUGCUUGAAAAUGUAAUCGGCUCCGGAGGAGUUUAAAUACAUUUUUUUUCAUUCUGUUAUAUACUCGUCUUGAAGGCAUGUCAUCGUUUCAGCUGUUGCUGUAGCACAUAUUUUGUGCUUAAGUUAAGUUUAGUAGUAUAUUGCUUCUAGUCUAAACAGCCCUAAUCUCUUCCUAGAAUAUAGUACGCCAAUUAAAACAGUAGUCAAAUCCAUGCUUCAGUGCAGCUAGCACAUCAUUAAAGUUUAAUUGGUACCAGCACAUUAGUUUCAAAACCCAUUUUCUUUCAAAGUCACUAUGCUGAACACGUUGACCAACGAAACUGCUGAAGAAACGGAAUUGAGAUAGAAAAAUAGCAGAUUUCAGGGAAACAUUGUGUUCCGAAGUCUCACUGACAAGUGUUUUCGACAUCAAAUGAGCCAUGGCAAAAGAUUACCACAAUGUGGGCAACAGUAAAGAGCAAAAUACAGCUGAAGUUAUAUAACAGAAUGCCCAAGUUAUGUACAACUGAGACUGAAAGUAUUUUAAUGAGAGAGUUGAAAUAAUAAAAUAGCAAAAUGUGUCAUAAAUGUACAGAAUGUGUGUGCGUUUAGAAGGAAAGAGCCAAUUAAUAUUUGCAUUGUGUUGGCUGAUCUAAAGACAACAUAAACCCUGAAAGAUGUUCCUUGAAAUGACAAAAGGUUUUAUCUUAAUAAACGUAAAUCUGUUUGCGGAACAAAAACCGUGAUACGGUCCCACAGACACAAAUUAGGUACAAUGAAGCUUUAGGAAAAUACAUAUUUUCCAUUCACCAAUAUUAUUUCUUUAAUUUGCAAUUCUUGUUACAAGAAUUACAAGACAUUCCCUUGUCGUGAUGCGUUCAAUACUAAGCCAUAUGUCUUGACAGCCCUUCCCGUUGUAAAGGUGGUACUGAAUUCAUACUUUUUACCCACUGCCAAAUGUUUGUGAUGGAUACGUACAGUACUGUAUGUACGCACAAUGCAGUGUGUGAACACAAUCCCAUCCCUGCAUCUAAGCCAGUUGUGUAAACUCUAAGCUUACUACACACAGCUCAGCGUUAUCGCGACCCUACGAGCGGGGUGCUCUGCUCUGAAUCACCGCGAACAUCUGUACGACGGCGAACCAAUCAGAAAACAAGCACGAUAAAGCCGCUUGGAGUCGAAAACAUAUCAGUCUCCGAUAUUUAAUCAACCCGCAGAGAGCUUUCCCGUAGCGAUGACGGGCGCGGCGCUUCCUCGGCUCUGGCGAGAAAGAUGAUCCAGUGCGCACUCCUUCGCGGCGCAGGACUAAUGAAAGGGGUUUCUGAGCUUAUUCGCGGAUUUUUAAGCAUGCACUCAUGAUGCCUUAUUUUGAAAAACUACUUUUUCUACUUUUUUGUCUGAUCCUCAUCGGUGAGUGCCGAAAGCACAGGACAAGGAGAAGGAGAUGGACGGGAGCCGUGGAGCCGCAUAAGCAUGGCUUUCCUCUGUCGAAGAAGACACAAGACGUGACCAAAACGCGAAAAGUGAAGACGGACCACCUGCUCCGCGUAGACGAUCACGAUUUUACAAUGAGACCAGCAUUUGCAGGCCCUGCAAUUCCAGUUGGAGUGGAUGUGCAAGUUGAAAGCCUGGACAGUAUUUCCGAAGUAGACAUGGACUUCACCAUGACCCUGUACCUCAGGCAUUACUGGAAAGACGAGCGCCUGUCUUUCCCCAGCACCACUAACAAAAGCAUGACCUUCGACGGCCGACUGGUGAAGAAAAUCUGGGUUCCUGACGUGUUUUUUGUCCACUCCAAGAGGUCCUUCAUCCAUGACACCACCACAGACAACAUCAUGCUGAGGGUGUUUCCCGACGGUCAUGUGCUGUACAGCUUGAGGGUCACUGUAACAGCUGCCUGUAACAUGGACUUCAGUCGUUUCCCUCUGGACUCCCAAACGUGCUCGUUAGAACUGGAGAGCUAUGCCUAUACUGAUGAGGAUCUGAUGCUGUACUGGAAAAACGGAGACGAGUCGUUAAAAACAGAUGAGAAGAUAUCUCUGUCCCAGUUCCUCAUACAGAAGUUUCACACUACCUCCAGGCUUGCGUUCUAUAGCAGCACAGGCUGGUAUAACAGGCUGUACAUCAACUUCACUCUGCGGCGCCACAUCUUCUUCUUCCUGCUCCAGACCUACUUCCCGGCCACUCUGAUGGUCAUGCUGUCCUGGGUGUCCUUCUGGAUCGACCGCAGGGCCGUACCAGCUCGAGUCUCAUUGGGUAUCACCACGGUGCUCACCAUGUCCACCAUCAUCACCGGAGUCAACGCCUCCAUGCCCAGGGUCUCCUACAUCAAGGCGGUGGACAUCUACCUCUGGGUCAGCUUCGUCUUCGUGUUCCUGUCGGUGCUGGAGUACGCCGCCGUCAACUACCUGACCACCGUGCAGGAGAGGAAGGAGAGAAAGCUCCGAGAAAAAUCCCUGCCCUGUACCUGCGGGAUGUCCCACACCCGCACCAUGAUGCUCGACGGGACCUACAGCGAGGCCGACGCCAACAGCCUGGCGGGCUACACCAGGACCGCCGUGGCGCCCGAGGAGCCGGAGAAGCAGGAGCGCAUGGUGGUCCACCUGUCCAUGAGCAGCGAGUCCACGGCGGCCAAGAAGAAGGGGAUCAGGGGACUGCGGAUCAUGCAGAACACGCACGCCAUCGACAAGUACUCCAGGAUGAUUUUCCCUGGCGCCUACAUUUUUUUUAACUUGAUAUACUGGUCCGUCUACUGCUGAUCUUCCAGGGCGGGAUCCCGCCGGACGUCUGUUUCCAGCCGGCACGGCGGCGCCAGCGGGAUCCUGACGAGGGAGGGACAGGGGGGCAGACCGCCGCGCGCGCUCCAGACCGGCGGGCGUUGGGGUGUCUUUUUUGUCUGGCAUGUUCCGUCUCGAAAGUCAAAGAUUUCUCGUACCUCCGGCUUUUAACCGACUCCAGCUUUAUCACGAUCCUCGUUACUUACCGUAUCUGCCCUGUGACCUUCAAAAACAACAUUGUGCUUCAACAAGUAAGACAUCCCAGCUGCCAGACAAGGGAACUGCGGAGACCGAUGGAUACGGACACAAGAAUCAGUCAACAAUGCCAGAUAAAUCCCAGUUGUUGAAGAUUGCAGUCGGCUGCCCACUUCUGUCGACACAAGACUGAAAUAACAAUAUUGAAAGAUUUUUUCAAAUGUGAUUGCAAAAGCUCCACAAUGGUUUUAUGCAAUUUUGCCACGCGUUUACAGCUACAACUGGAACACGUAAAGGUUUAUUCCCUGCUGAAAAGAGAAGAACAGAAACAACGUUUCAGCUGUGGAGCCUUCUUCGGGUGUUAUGAGUUAUGAGUCAAAAUCUGGUUCAGGGUUGCUCAGGGCCAGAGGCUAUCCUGGAAAGCAAUGGGCACAAGGCAGAGACGCCAGUCCAUCGCAGGGCACACACACUCAUACCAGGCCCAGUGUUCCCGGAAACCAAUUCAGCUUCCAAUAGGUUUUUGGACUGUGGGAGAAAACCAGACCACCAGGAGGAAAACCACACGAACACAGGAAGAAAAUACCAACUCUACACAUAGGUUAGCACCCCAGCUCAGGACUGCAAGGCAGUGAUGGGAUCAGCUGCACCAUGAAAUAGAGCUGACAUCGAAGGUAUUUCUGAAGGGAGGAAAAUCUUUCAUUCUGGUAGCACACUAGUAGGCUCAUUAUAAUUUACCUGCUCAGAGGAAGGAUGAUGGGUGUAUACUAUAAAACAUUAUGCGCGUUCCAUUAUUGUUUAUAUUAUUAAAAACACAACAAGAAGACUCAUCAGGAUCUACAUAGUAAAACUGGAUAGAAAACACUAAAAAUAUUCUAAAUGCAUCUAUGGAUAAUAAACAGCUUUGCCUCAAUUACUUUUCUCGAAGAUUAACAUUCAGGCUGUCGCUGUUUUUAAAUUGUUUCACUCACUGUGUAUUCUUCUGAAGAAUAUGGCUCAUGAAUAUUUAACAUGAUCAUGGUUUAAUGAAAUUCCCUAUGCCUAUGCCACACACCCCUUCAGGGACUGCACUGGGUGUUUGUGAGCACUUCCCUGACUGCAGUUUUAUUUUCCCAUUAUGAGUCUGAAGAUAAGUCUAACAAAAAAAGAAAAAGAAGCCUCAGGCAGCUGAGCCAAUUCAUGAGAUGUAAGACCAAUGCAAUAAAAUAGAGAGAAAAACAUAAACCAAGCUGUUUUUAGGUGCUUCAAUAAACAAAAGAAAACUCCUACAAUCUGUGAGGAGAAUAUUGUCUUCAAGCCUUAAACGGUAAUUCAAAGUAAAAGGAGUCUGCUGUCACAAUU